rnacentral:misc_RNA from 1 species
GUUUUGGGGUGGUGGUUUUGGAGGUGGCAUGUGGGCGAAGGCCGAUUGACUUAGGGAUUGUGUUGGAGGAAGAGGAAGUGUUGAUUGAUUGGGUUAGACAAAAGUACAGGGAAGGGCGAUUAUGUGAGGCAGCAGAUAAAAGGAUCAAGGAGCAGUGUUCGGAGGAAGAAAUGGAAGCUAUAUUGAAACUAGGACUUACAUGUUGUCACCCUGAUCCUCUCCGUCGGCCUACUAUGAAGGAGGUUGUUGCUGUAUUGCUUGGUGAAAAUGUCGAUGCAACGCCAAAUGAGUUGAUCGUUGAAUUAGCACCUACUGAAAGCAACACGAGAGAUAGAAGCGACUGGUCAACUGAGGAAUCAGAGCCACUUUCGGCUGUGUAGAUAUUGUACUUCUGUUUCCUUCAUUGCCUUGAAAUUAUUGUUUAAAG